rnacentral:lncRNA from 1 species
GCGAAGCAGGCGAGUAUGUUUGUGGCUUUGGAUAAGCUGUUUGCUUUGCACAACGCGAUGCUUGUUGAGUCCAGGGUGAUCAAAGCUUUCUUCAUCUACUUCUUGUCGAUCUUUGUUAUCUACAUGUUCACGAGUACGAAACAGACUUACACCAUAAGGCCAAGGCUUUACAUUGGUAAGUACCAUACUCCAUCUCUCUUAUAAAGUUAGUAAUACAUUAGUUAAUUAGUUAACAUAACUUUUUUAUUUCGCUGAUGCAGGUUUGUGCGUUACCUUAGCAUUAGAAGUGGCAAGUUUGCGUUACGUGAAUGAUGCAGAGAAUAGAGCAUGGGUUAUAAACGUUAUCAGGUCUAUCUUCGCUGCUCUUGCUUCAG